UAACCUGCCCCGAUGAUCGGGACAACCCGAGGAAACUCGGGCUAAUACCGAAUGUGCCCGCGAGCCAUCAGGCUCGUGUGUAAAGGAAGCUUCGGCCUCCGCAUCGGGAUGGGCCCGCGGCCCAUUAGCUUGUUGGUGAGGUAAGAGCUCACCAAGGCGACGAUGGGUAGCUGGUCUGAGAGGACGAUCAGCCACACUGGGACUGAGACACGGCCCAG
rnacentral:rRNA from 1 species